UACGAAGGGUGCAAACGUUGCUCGGAAUUAUUGGGCGUAAAGCGCGCGCAGGCGGCUGUUUAAGUCUGGUGUAUAAUCCCGAGGCUCAACCUUGGGUCGCACUGGAAACUGGAGAGCUGGAGUGUAGGAGAGGAAAGUGGAAUUCCACGUGUAGCGGUGAAAUGCGUAGAGAUGUGGAGGAACACCAGUGGCGAAGGCGACUUUCUGGCCUAUAACUGACGCUGAGGCGCGAAAGCGUGGGGAGC
rnacentral:rRNA from 1 species